UACGGAGGAUGCAAGCGUUAUCCGGAAUGAUUGGGCGUAAAGCGUCCGCAGGUGGCGAUGUAAGUCUGCUGUUAAAGAGUGAGGCUCAACCUCAUAAAAGCAGUGGAAACUACACGGCUAGAGUGCGUUCGGGGCAGAGGGAAUUCCUGGUGUAGCGGUGAAAUGCGUAGAUAUCAGGAAGAACACCGGUGGCGAAAGCGCUCUGCUAGGCCGCAACUGACACUGAGGGACGAAAGCUAGGGGAGCGAAUGGG
rnacentral:rRNA from 1 species